UACAGAGGGGGCAAGCGUUGUUCGGAAUUACUGGGCGUAAAGGGCGCGUAGGCGGCCUGUUAAGUCGAACGUGAAAUCCCCGGGCUCAACCCGGGAACUGCGUCCGAUACUGGCAGGCUUGAAUCCGGGAGAGGGAUGCGGAAUUCCAGGUGUAGCGGUGAAAUGCGUAGAUAUCUGGAGGAACACCGGUGGCGAAGGCGGCAUCCUGGACCGGAAGUGACGCUGAGGCGCGAAAGCCUGGGGAGCAAACGGG
rnacentral:rRNA from 1 species